GCCAGCUUGCUGGCGUUGUAGUUGAGCGACCUUGGGGUGUCAGUCUGGGUAAGUCGCAUGGAAAUGCGUGCCGUGGAGGGUGAGAGCCCCGUCCAUCCCAUUCAGGACACCCCGCACAAGGGCGUUUCAGACGAGUCGGGUAGCUUGGGAAUGCUGCUCUAAUUGGUGGUAAAUCUCAUCAAAGGCUAAAUAACGGUGGGAGACCGAUAGCGAACAAGUACCGUGAGGGAAAGAUGACAAGCACUUUGAAAAGAGGGUGAAAAGAGCCUGAAACCGUUACGGGGGAAGCGGAUCGCGUUGGCCUGGUGGCCGCCUGUGUGUUCAGCCUUCGGGUGCAUUGAUGCAGGUGGUUAUCCGUCGUGGCUUCUCGGUGGCCGAAUUUGGGCUGCUGGGGGGUGAGGGCUCCCUUCGGGUGAGGACGACGGAGUGACGACGCGAUACGACCCGUCUUGAAACACGGACCAAGGAGUCUAGCGCGGGUGCGAGUCGGAGGGUGUUAAAACCCGUGGGCGAAGUGAAAGCGAGUGUAAAAACGAGCAGUUUGAGGCGGCAUAGAAUCGUUGAUUCUAGGUCCGACCUUGAGCAGUUGCGCUGGGACCCGAAAGAUGGUGAACUAUGCCGGAGUAGGGCAAAGCCAGAAGAAAUUCUGGUGGAGGCUCGUAGCGGUGCUGACGUGCAAAUCGCUCGUCGAACUUGGGUAUAGGGGCGAAAGACUAAUCGAACCAUCUAGUAGCUGGUUCCCUCCGAAGUUUCUCUCAGGAUAGCGGGCCGACAAGUUGUUUUGUGCGGUAAAGCGAAUGAUUAGCGCAUUCGGGGCCGUUUAGGCUUUGGGCGAUUCUCAAACUUUCAAUGCGCAAGGGUACCGGUGCUUUGUUGAGCGGUACCGAUAAAAACGUCGGCCUUGUGGGCCACUUUUGGUAAGCAGAACUGGCGAUACGGGAUGAACCGUAAGCAUUAGCCCUGAAAAUGGAUGGCGCUUAAGCGGGCGACCGACACCAUGCCGUCUGUAAAAUAAAUCAGAUGAGUAGGAGGGCGUGGCGGCCGUGUCGAAGCGCGCCUGCAGAGGCGUGUGGAACGGCCGCUAGUGCAGAUCUUGGUGGUAGUAGCAAAUAUUCAAGCGAGAUCCUUGAAGGGCGAAGCGGGGAAGGGUUCCACGCGAACAUUGAUUGGGCGUGGGUGAGUCGUUCCUAAGCCGAGUGGCGAUUGCUAAGUAGCGGCGAAAGGGAAGCGGGUUGACAUUCCCGCACACGGAUGUGGAGGCGGCGACGCUUUAUUGGGGCGAACACGCUGGCGGUGGCGCUGGGCAGAGUUGUCUUUUCUGUUUGACCGCUGAUGCACGCGGUGUGGAAUCCGCUUGUCGGGAGAAACACGCGUGUACGGGCAGAGCGCCGGGGCUUUUCCGGCGUCCAGCUCGCCACCGACGGCCCUUGAAACUUUGCCUGCUGGUAUUUUAAGAUCCACGCCGUGGCGUACCGAUCACCGCAUCAGGUCCCCGAGGUGAACAGCCUCUGCUCAAUAUGAAAAAUGCAGGUAAGGGAAGUCGGCAAAUUGGACCCGUAACUUUGGGAAAAGGGUUGGCUCUAGUGCUGCGUGGGAGUGGUUGUCGGGUGUUGGUAUGUUUAGGCUUGCUGAGCGAGCGCGGGCCUUCGGGACUGUGUUUGUUCGGCGAGCCCGGAUGUGCCACGCUCGACGACGCCCACAGCAUGCAGCAGUUUAAUUAAAACAAAGCAUUGCGAAGGCCGUGGCCGGUGAUGACGCAAUGUGANUUCUGCUCAGUGCUCUGAAUGUCAAAGUGAAGAGAUUCAAUCAAGCGCGGGUAAACAGCGGGAGUAACUAUGACUCUCUUAAGGUAGCCAAAUGCCUCGUCAUCUAAUUAGUGACGCGCAUGAAUGGAUUAACGAGAUUCCUACUGUCCCUAUCUGCUUCUAGCGAAACCACAGCCGAGGGAACGGGCUCGGCGAAAUCGGCGGGGAAAGAAGACCCUGUUGAGCUUGACUCUAUUCUAAUUUUGUGAAGCAAGCUGGGAGGUGUAGCAUAGGUGGGAGACUUCGGUCGUCCGUGAAAUACCACUACUCCCAGUCUUGCUUUACUUACUGGGUGGGUGUGGAUGAGUCUUACGACUCUUUUCUGGAACCAACUCAAUUUAAUUUGAGGACCACAGCCCAGUACACAUUUAGGAGGGGAGUUUGGCUGGGGCGGUACAUCUUCUACAAGACAACGAAGGUGUCCAAAGAUAAGCUCAGUGAGAACAGAAAUCUCACGUAGCGCAAAAGGGUAAAAGCUUGUUUGAUUUUGAUUUUCAGUGCGAGUCAAAAACGCGAAAGCGUGGCCUAUCGAUCCUUUCACGAUUCGAGAUUUGAAGCGAGAGGUGUCAGAAAAGUUACCACAGGGAUAACUGGCUUGUGGCGGCCAAGCGUUCAU
rnacentral:rRNA from 1 species